rnacentral:lncRNA from 1 species
CCUGCCCCAUGCAAAGGGAACCAACCGCUCCUGGCUCACCCCUCUCUCUCCGAGGGGGCAGCCGAGGGACCUGGGCGCACCGGUCCUUCGUCCAGUCCCGCCCACCUAGCCGCGACUCCGAGCUGCCGCCUGCUGCCCCCUGCUGUCCCCUGGCUGAUGAGCCUGAGAGCAGCGCGAGCCGACCCGCGGAAAGCCAAGCCCGCCGUUGUGGGACCUGCGGGGACAGAUCCGGCGGGCGGGGCGUCCGCGGGCUGGGCUGGUCCACCUGCGUGCUCUGCGCAUCCUUCUGCAGCUCCUGCGGUUGGUGCGCCGUUUGUUCCCAGAGAUUCAGGUUUGGAAGACGCACCAGUUACAACCGCACAUGCGCGCUGCCUGGCGAGGAAAAGACAGCGGGACUUUGCAUGUCGAUCACAGGCUUUUUGGGUCAAACAACCCCAGUGCCUGUUCCCAGGGUCUGGCUGAAUGGGAUGUCCUCGGCGCCUUAACCAAGUGGAAGGCUAUUGAGGUGCCGAAUGAAAUGAUCUCCAGGCUGUAACAAAAACAAAUGCUGGGAGCAGAACAGUCUGUGUAGAUGUCAACAUUGGCGUGACAGGGGAGGAUACCCGCCCGUUUCUGUGUCUGCACGGAAGCUCUCCGGAAGGAGGACGG